rnacentral:rRNA from 1 species
AUUGAACGCUGGCGGCAUGCCUUACACGUGCAAGUCGAACGGCAGCACGGGUGCUUGCACCUGGUGGCGAGUGGCGAACGGGUGAGUAAUACAUCGGAACGUACCUUAUCGUGGGGAAUAACGCAGCGAAAGCUGUGCUAAUACCGCAUACGCCCUGAGGGGGAAAGCGGGGGAUCGCAAGACCUCGCGCGAUUAGAGCGGCCGAUGCUUGCUUAGCUUGUUGGUGGGGUAAAAGCCCACCAAGGCGACGAUCAGUAGGUGGUCUGAGAGGACGAUCAGCCACACUGCGACUGAGAAACGGCCCAGACUCCUACGGGAUGGAGCAGUGGGGAGUUUUGGACAAUGGGGGCAACCCUGAUCCAGCAAUGCCGCGUGAGUGAAGAAGGCCUUCGGGUUGUAAAGCUCUUUUGUCAGGGAAGAAACACCGGCUCUAACACAGUCCGGGAAUGACGGUACCUGAAGAAUAAGCACCGGCUAACUACGUGCCAGCCGCCGCAGUAA